rnacentral:tRNA from 3 species
GUGGCCGUAGCUCAGUUGGUAGAGCCCCGGAUUGUGAUUCCGGUUGUCGUGGGUUCGAGCCCCAUCGGUCACC